GAACUCACAGAUCAGCAGUCAUGGAGGUAUGUGAGCUCCACCCUUAACCCAGCAGAUGACCUGACCAGGGGCAAAUCCUUGGUGGAACUAGCACAACCAAAUAGGUGGUGUCAAGGCCCAUCCUUUCUCUUGCAACCACCUCAUGAGUGGCCUGAAGCUCCAGCUUGGACAUAUGAAGAAGACCCUACAGAGUUGCGACGGUCCUUGUUCUGUCAUUUCAUCUCAACCAGCUCGGAUAAGUCUGUCCCUGAUUCAAGUCAGUAUGCUACAUGGAGUGAACUAGUGGAGGCCACAGCACGCACACUUCAGCAGGAUAAAGCAGAGCAAGACGUUUCACCUCCUUCCAGGGCUUAUCAGCAGGUAGUCCUUUUCCUCAUUAAACAGUCUCAGCUCGAAAGUUUCCCGGAGGAAUACCACCUUCUCAAGGCCAACAAAUCAGUCCCUUCCAGUAGUCGCCUUCUUGUUCUGGCUCCUGAAUUUGAUGCAACAGAUGAGAUCAUCCGAGUUGGCGGCCGCCUUCGUAGAGCAGAGGAUUUGGAUCCAAACUUCAAACACCCUAUUGUGCUAGAUCCGAGCCACUACAUCACCAAAUUGUUAAUCCAGGAUUGUGACCAGAGAUUAUGCCACCCUGGACCAGAGCGUGUCUUCGCUGAACUUCGGCGGUCUUAUUGGAUAUUGAGAGGGCGCGAGGCUGUCCGGAAGCAUCAGUAUGCCUGUCUGGAGUGCCGAAAGUUGAGAUCUAAACCUGUUGUACCAAAGAUGGCUGACUUGCCUCCUGCUCGACUCCGUUUGUUCAAGCCAGCAUUUUAUUCCACUGGGAUGGACUGCUUUGGGCCAUUCCAGGUGAAGAUUGGCAGGCGUACAGAAAAACGGUGGGGUAUUAUAUUUAAAUGCCUUACCACUCGAGCAGUGCAUCUGGACGUACUCACCUCCAUUGAUACAGAUGCCUUCUUGAUGGCUGUACGGAGGUUUACAGCACGCCGUGGUACCCCUGCUGAGCUUUACUCAGACCAAGGGACAAAUUUCAGAGGAGGAGAGAAAGAGUUGAGAGAGGCUUUCUCUGUUAUGAGUACUGACCUGCAAGGUUUGCUGGCGAAACAUCAGAUCAACUUUCACUUCAAUCCUCCAACAGCUCCACACUUUGGAGGAGUGUGGGAGCGAGAGAUUCGCUCUGUGAAAGCAGCACUUAGCACCACAAUUGGAGCACAGAGCGUUCCCGAGGAAGUACUCAGAACAGUUUUAAUUGAGGUGGAAGCGAUCUUGAAUUCUAAACCGUUGGGGUAUGUGUCAUCCAACAUCUCAGAUGUUGACCCAAUAACACCAAAUCAUCUUCUGAUGGGGCGGCCCAGUGGUUCAUUUCCGCAAGUUGUCUACCAAGAUUCUGAACGCCUAAGCCGCAGACGGUGGAGACAAAGUCAGAUACUGGUGGAUCACUUCUGGGCCAAGUUUAU
ensembl:lncRNA